UGCGUAGGCGGGCUAAUAAGUCAGUGGUGAAAUCUUUCGGCUCAACCGAGAAACUGCCAUUGAUACUGUUAGUCUUGAGUUCGGUUGAGGUAGGCGGAAUGUGUAAUGUAGCGGUGAAAUGCUUAGAUAUUACAUAGAACACCAAUUGCGUAGGCAGCUUACUAGACCGACACUGACGCUGAGGCACGAAAGCGUGGGGAGCGAACAGGAUUAGAUACCCUGGUAGUCC
rnacentral:rRNA from 1 species